UCCCUGGUGGCUCAGAGGUUAAAGUGUCUGCCUCCAAUGGAGAAGACUCAGGUUCGAUCCCUGGGUCGGGAA
rnacentral:tRNA from 1 species